rnacentral:rRNA from 1 species
AUUGAACGCUGGCGGCAGGCCUAACACAUGCAAGUCGAGCGAGCGGCGGACGGGUGAGUAAUGUAUGGGGACUGCCCGAUAGAGGGGGAUCACUACUGGCAACGGUGGCUAAUACCGCAUACUAUCGGAUAACCCAUAUGGGAUUCGCUAGUAGGUGGGGUAAAGGCUCACCUAGGCGACGAUCUCUAGCUGGUCUGAGAGGAUGAUAAGCCACACUGGGACUGAGACACUGACCAGACUCCUACGGAGGCAGCAGUGGGGAAUAUUGCACAAUGGGCGCAAGACUGAUGCAGCGAUGCCGCGUGUAUGAAGAAGGACUUAGGGUUGUAAAGUACUUUCAGCGGGGAGGCGUUACCCGCAGAAGAAGAACCGGCUAACUCCGUGACAGCAGCAGAGGUAAUUCC